CUGUGAUGGGGAGGGUCAGUCUCUCUCCUGAGCCUGGGCUGGAGGUCUCUGGGGAAGACGUGGUUUCCCUGGUCCAGAAGAACAUGAAAUCCUGGUGGCUUCUCCUCUCCCUGCUGGCAGCUCCCCACUGGGUCCUGUCUCAGCUCCAGCUGUUGGAGUCCGGCCCUGGAGUGGUCAAACCCUCGGAAACUCUCAGACUCUCCUGUGCCGUCUCCGGGGGCUCAGUCAGCAGCAGCUACUACUGGAGCUGGAUCCGUCAGCAGCCUGGGAAGGGGCUGGAGUGGAUGGGAUACUGGAGUGGUAGCACAUACUACAACCCAGCCUUCCAGAACCGCAUCACCAUCACAGCCGAUACGUCCAAGAACCAGUUCUCUCUGCAGCUAAAUGGCGUGACAUUGGCAGACACGGCCUUGUAUUACUGUGCAAGAGACACAGUGUGGGGCAGUGAGUGUGAGCCUAGACAUAAACCUGCCUCUACAGGGGGUCAGGAGGAGGCUGGGCAGCAGGGGGAGCUCAGGACUCACUGAGCACGAGGAGCCCAGUUCCAGGAACAGGUGGAGAGCGAGGCAGAGAAAGAGUUUCUGUUCAGUGUCUGUGGUUUCCUCUCCCAGCUCAGUGCAUAGCUUUCCCCCUAGAGGGUGGGGGAUUAAGCCCUGAGAGCAGAGUUGGAGGCAUGGAGUAGAACGAGUGUUAUUUAUUGAAGGCUUAUUGUGUACGGAGCACUGUAGUACGUGUUUGGGAGAGAACAUUAGAGUAAGUAGUCUCGGUCCCUGUCCUCCAGAAGCUUAGCGCGUCUCACAGAGAGGGCAUCUGAAGGUGGGUACCAGUUCCACUGGUGAGUGAAAUAGUUUCAGUGGUUAGUGGUUAAUCUCAGGUCAGAGGUCUGGGAGCAGUAGGAGAAUCUGGUGACUUGGAACCCAGGAGUCAGGGUGAGGGACAGUGGGCAGGA